rnacentral:rRNA from 1 species
CUAUGUGACCAAACCUUCUUGUCAAAGCCUCGUCAGAUCUGAGACACUAAGCAGAGCUGGGCUUGGUUAGUAUUUGGAUGGGAGACCACUGGGAAAACCAAGUGCCACAGUGG